UGUCAAAAUGUCGACUCCAGCUCA
rnacentral:siRNA from 1 species